rnacentral:tRNA from 1 species
GUGGCUAUAGCUCAGUUGGUUAGAGCAUCGGUUUGUGGUACCGAGGGUCGCGGGUUCGAGUCCCGUUAGCCACC